CAGUGGACAGUCUUCAGACGAGCUUCUACAUCAAACAAAUUCCAGACGGACUUCUCUAGCAAUCGAACUCCUGUCGGAUUUCUCCAACAGGAAGUUCCCGUCCGAGCUUCUAUAGUAGAUGACUUUCACCUGCAGCAUCAGUGCUCAAGGCACCCAACAACAGUAAACUCGUCAGCAAUCUCGAAAAUAUCCGAGCUUCUCUUAGAUUGCUGAGACAGAGAGCCAUUCCACUCUAUCA
rnacentral:lncRNA from 1 species